rnacentral:rRNA from 1 species
UACGUAGGGGGCAAGCGUUGUCCGGAUUUAUUGGGCGUAAAGAGCGUGUAGGCGGCCAGAUAGGUCCGUUGUGAAAACUCGAGGCUCAACCUCGAGACGCCGAUGGAAACCAUUUGGCUAGAGUCCGGAAGAGGAGAGUGGAAUUCCUGGUGUAGGGGUGAAAUGCGCAGAUAUCAGGAAGAACACCCGUGGCUAAGGCGGCUCUCUAGUACGGUACUGACGCUGAGGCGCGAAAGCGUGGGGAGCGAACAGG